AUACCCGAGGAACCUUACCUGGACUUGACAUAUAGGGAAAAACUGGAGAAAUCCAGUGUGCGUAAGCGCCCUAUACAGGUGUUGCAUGGCUGUCG
rnacentral:rRNA from 1 species